GGGGGGGGGGGUAGGAGCUGUAGGAAAAGCACUGGCUGGACUUGCAAAAUCCGCACUACCAAUCCUAGUACCUAUCCUAAGUUUACUAAGUACUAUCCUAAGCUGGGGAGCUAAAGGUCUCGCCUUCCUUGCCAAAAAUCUAUGGAUCGUAGCAGUCCUAAUUGCCGUAGCCAUAUAUAAGUACCUACAAAUGAAACGAAGGAAAUAAAGUUAUACUAUAAUAAAACAUAUUGGACCGGACAGCUGAAUUUAUGCCUAACUUCCGACGAAUGAAUAGGACGGAAAUUACUGGGGAUAGGACCAGACACGUUCUAACAUUCAAACCCAAUUCUGCCAAACCUGGAGAAGAAAUUUACAUUAAUAUCCCAAAGCUAAAAGCCGAC
rnacentral:lncRNA from 1 species